GCGUGCCUAUACAUGCAAGUCGAGCGAACGGACGAGAAGCUUGCUUCUCUGAUGUUAGCGGCGGACGGGUGAGGGACACGUGGAUAACCUACCUAUAAGACUGGGAUAACUUCGGGAAACCGGAGCUAAUACCGGAUAAUAUUUUGAACCGCAUGGUUCAAAAGUGAAAGACGGUCUUGCUGUCACUUAUAGAUGGAUCCGCGCUGCAUUAGCUAGUUGGUAAGGUAACGGCUUACCAGGGCAACGAUGCAUAGCCGACCUGAGAGGGUGAUCGGCCACACUGGAACUGAGACACGGUCCAGACUCCUACGGGAGGCAGCAGUAGGGAAUCUUCCGCAAUGGGCGAAAGCCUGACGGAGCAACGCCGCGUGAGUGAUGAAGGUCUUCGGAUCGUAAAACUCUGUUAUUAGGGAAGAACAUAUGUGUAAGUAACUGUGCACAUCUUGACGGUACCUAAUCAGAAAGCCACGGUAACUACGUGCCAGCAGCCGCGGUAAUACGUAGGUGGCAAGCGUUAUCCGGAAUUAUUGGGCGUAAAGCGCGCGUAGGCGGUUCAAGUCUGAUGUGAAAGGCCACGGUCAACCGUGGAGGGUCCUUGGCAAACUUGGGAAAAAUUUGAUUGGCCAAACAGGAAACGUUGGCAAUUCCC
rnacentral:rRNA from 1 species